AGACGACUACGUUGAUAGGUCACAGGUGUAAAGGCAGUAAUGUCAUAGCCGAGUGAUACUAAUUACCCGUAGGUCUAUCGUA
rnacentral:rRNA from 1 species